rnacentral:snRNA from 1 species
AUGCUUGUUUGGUAGCAUAUACUAAAAUUGGAAUGAUAUAAAGAUUAGCAUGGCCUCUGUACAAGGAUGACAAGCAAAUUCAUGAAAGGAAGCCUCUUCCA